AUGGCCAAGUUAAUAGGGAGGGAUUUUAGCCGGGUUCUGACUACAGCAAGAGGAACCGUAGGAUACCUUGCACCUGAAUGGAUAAGCGGGGUUGCUAUCACAACAAAAGUCGAUGUUUAUGGCUAUGGGAUGGUGCUAAUGGAAAUCAUAUCAGGAAGACCGAAUUCACUUGAACAAUACACUGCAGAUGGUGAUUGUGAUGUUUUCUUCCCUGUGCAUGCUGCGCAUAUGCUUGUUGAGGGAGAUGUGGCAAGCUUGGUGGAUGACAAACUAUUGGGUGAUGUGAAUAUGGAGGAAGCUGAACGGCUAUGCAAGGUUGCUUGUUGGUGCAUUCAAGAUGAUGAGUUUGAUAGGCCGACAAUGGGCGAAGUUGUUCGUACUCUAGAGGGUUUAUCUGAUCUUGACAUGCCUCCUAUUCCAAGACUACUUCAGGCCAUUACAAGGAGGAGCUUGCACCCGCCAUCCACCUACUCCUACCUCUAUAAUGAAUCAGAAUAA
rnacentral:rRNA from 1 species